rnacentral:rRNA from 1 species
UUAAGCGACUAAGCGUACACGGUGGAUGCCCUGGCAGUCAGAGGCGAUGAAGGACGUGCUAAUCUGCGAAAAGCGUCGGUAAGGUGAUAUGAACCGUUAUAACCGGCGAUGUCCGAAUGGGGAAACCCAGUGCAAUUCGUUGCACUAUCGUUAACUGAAUACAUAGGUUAACGAGGCGAACCGGGGGAACUGAAACAUCUAAGUACCCCGAGGAAAAGAAAUCAACCGAGAUUCCCCCAGUAGCGGCGAGCGAACGGGGAGCAGCCCAGAGUCUGAAUCAGCUUGUGUGUUAGUGGAACGGUCUGGAAAGUCCGACGGUACAGGGUGAUAGUCCCGUACACCAAAAUGCACAGGUUGUGAACUCGAAGAGUAGGGCGGGACACGUGGUAUCCUGUCUGAAUAUGGGGGGACCAUCCUCCAAGGCUAAAUACUCCUGACUGACCGAUAGUGAACCAGUACCGUGAGGGAAAGGCGAAAAGAACCCCGGCGAGGGGAGUGAAAAAGAACCUGAAACCGUGUACGUACAAGCAGUGGGAGCACCUUCGGGUGUGACUGCGUACCUUUUGUAUAAUGGGUCAGCGACUUAUAUUCUGUAGCAAGGUUAACCGUAUAGGGGAGCCGCAGGGAAACCGAGUCUUAACUGGGCGUUAAGUUGCAGGGUAUAGACCCGAAACCCGGUGAUCUAGCCAUGGGCAGGUUGAAGGUUGGGUAACACUAACUGGAGGACCGAACCGACUAAUGUUGAAAAAUUAGCGGAUGACUUGUGGCUGGGGGUGAAAGGCCAAUCAAACCGGGAGAUAGCUGGUUCUCCCCGAAAGCUAUUUAGGUAGCGCCUCGUGAAUUCAUCUUCGGGGGUAGAGCACUGUUUCGGCUAGGGGGUCAUCCCGACUUACCAACCCGAUGCAAACUACGAAUACCGAAGAAUGUUAUCACGGGAGACACACGGCGGGUGCUAACGUCCGUCGUGAAGAGGGAAACAACCCAGACCGCCAGCUAAGGUCCCAAAGUCAUGGUUAAGUGGGAAACGAUGUGGGAAGGCACAGACAGCCAGGAUGUUGGCUUAGAAGCAGCCAUCAUUUAAAGAAAGCGUAAUAGCUCACUGGUCGAGUCGGCCUGCGCGGAAGAUGUAACGGGGCUAAACCAUGCACCGAAGCUGCGGCAGCGACACUAUGUGUUGUUGGGUAGGGGAGCGUUCUGUAAGCCUGCGAAGGUGUGCUGUGAGGCAUGCUGGAGGUAUCAGAAGUGCGAAUGCUGACAUAAGUAACGAUAAAGCGGGUGAAAAGCCCGCUCGCCGGAAGACCAAGGGUUCCUGUCCAACGUUAAUCGGGGCAGGGUGAGUCGACCCCUAAGGCGAGGCCGAAAGGCGUAGUCGAUGGGAAACAGGUUAAUAUUCCUGUACUUGGUGUUACUGCGAAGGGGGGACGGAGAAGGCUAUGUUAGCCGGGCGACGGUUGUCCCGGUUUAAGCAUGUAGGCUGNUCCAGGCAAAUCCGGAUAAUCAAGGCUGAGGUGUGAUGACGAGGCACUACGGUGCUGAAGUAACAAAUGCCCUGCUUCCAGGAAAAGCCUCUAAGCAUCAGGUAACAUCAAAUCGUACCCCAAACCGACACAGGUGGUCAGGUAGAGAAUACCAAGGCGCUUGAGAGAACUCGGGUGAAGGAACUAGGCAAAAUGGUGCCGUAACUUCGGGAGAAGGCACGCUGGUGUGUAGGUGAAGUCCCUGCGGAUGGAGCUGAGACCAGUCGAAGAUACCAGCUGGCUGCAACUGUUUAUUAAAAACACAGCACUGUGCAAACACGAAAGUGGACGUAUACGGUGUGACGCCUGCCCGGUGCCGGAAGGUUAAUUGAUGGGGUUAUCCGUAAGGAGAAGCUCUUGAUCGAAGCCCCGGUAAACGGCGGCCGUAACUAUAACGGUCCUAAGGUAGCGAAAUUCCUUGUCGGGUAAGUUCCGACCUGCACGAAUGGCGUAAUGAUGGCCAGGCUGUCUCCACCCGAGACUCAGUGAAAUUGAACUCGCUGUGAAGAUGCAGUGUACCCGCGGCAAGACGGAAAGACCCCGUGAACCUUUACUAUAGCUUGACACUGAACAUUGAGCCUUGAUGUGUAGGAUAGGUGGGAGGCUUUGAAGCGUGGACGCCAGUCUGCGUGGAGCCAACCUUGAAAUACCACCCUUUAAUGUUUGAUGUUCUAACGUUGGCCCCUGACCGGGGUUGCGGACAGUGUCUGGUGGGUAGUUUGACUGGGGCGGUCUCCUCCCAAAGCGUAACGGAGGAGCACGAAGGUUAGCUAAUCCUGGUCGGACAUCAGGAGGUUAGUGCAAUGGCAUAAGCUAGCUUGACUGCGAGCGUGACGGCGCGAGCAGGUGCGAAAGCAGGUCAUAGUGAUCCGGUGGUUCUGAAUGGAAGGGCCAUCGCUCAACGGAUAAAAGGUACUCCGGGGAUAACAGGCUGAUACCGCCCAAGAGUUCAUAUCGACGGCGGUGUUUGGCACCUCGAUGUCGGCUCAUCACAUCCUGGGGCUGAAGUAGGUCCCAAGGGUAUGGCUGUUCGCCAUUUAAAGUGGUACGCGAGCUGGGUUUAGAACGUCGUGAGACAGUUCGGUCCCUAUCUGCCGUGGGCGCUGGAGAAUUGAGGGGGGCUGCUCCUAGUACGAGAGGACCGGAGUGGACGCAUCACUGGUGUUCGGGUUGUCAUGCCAAUGGCACUGCCCGGUAGCUAAAUGCGGAAGAGAUAAGUGCUGAAAGCAUCUAAGCACGAAACUUGCCCCGAGAUGAGUUCUCCCUGAGACUUUAAGUCUCCUGAAGGAACGUU